CCAAGGUGUCUAGCAUGUGCGCGAGUCAUUGGGACUCUGAUAAACCUAAAGGCGCAAUGAAAGUAAAGGUCCGCCUCGCGCGGACCGAGGGAGGAUGGGCCCGUCCCCGGACGGGCCCCGCACUCCCGGGGCGUCUCGUUCUCAUCGCGAGAAGAGGCGCACCCAGAGCGUACACGCUGGGACCCGAAAGAUGGUGAACUAUGCCUGGUCAGGACGAAGUCAGGGGAAACCCUGAUGGAGGUCCGUAGCGAUUCUGACGUGCAAAUCGAUCGUCGGAACUGGGUAUAGGGGCGAAAGACUAAUCGAACCUUCUAGUAGCUGG
rnacentral:rRNA from 1 species